rnacentral:rRNA from 1 species
AGAGUUUGAUCAUGGCUCAGAAUCAACGCUGGCGGCGUGCCUAACACAUGCAAGUCGAACGCGAAAGCCCGCAAGGGUAAGUAGAGUGGCGCACGGGUGAGUAACACGUGGACAACCUGCCUUCGAGUGGGGAAUAACCUUCCGAAAGGAGGGCUAAUACCGCAUAACACCUCGGAACACAAGUUCUGGGGUUGAAAAGAGCAAUUUGCUCGAAGAGGGGUCCGCGCCUGAUUAGCUAGUUGGUGAGGUAACGGCUCACCAAGGCUUCGAUCAGUAGCCGUCCUGAGAGGGAGCACGGCCACACUGGAACUGAGACACGGUCCAGACUCCUACGGGAGGCAGCAGUGGGGAAUUUUUGGCAAUGGGCGAAAGCCUGACCAAGCAACGCCGCGUGGGUGAUGAAGUAUCUUGGUACGUAAAACCCUUUCGGCAGGGACGAACCUAAUGACGGUACCUGCGAAGAGC